CGCGAGCUGAGGCGGAGAGAAGCGAGUUGCCGGUGCGAAAUAUCUAAAUUUUUAAGAUUGUAUUACUGGUGAAGAUUGUGGAGAGAGAGAAAUUUUAAGGAAUAAUUUAUUGAAAAAGCCACAAGGAGAAGAGCCACGAGUGACACGUAGAGGAGUCCCAGAGGCUUAGUAGUAUAGAUCCACUGUCUCUUUUGGGUAUUUAAUUUAUGAUUUAUAAUGUGUUAUAUUGCCAAUAUUAGGACUUUUUUAUGUUUAUUGUCAAUUAUAUGAAUAUAUAAAUGUAAUCAUGCCUUUCAAACUAUUUCUAUUUUUGGUACAAUUUGGAUGACUGUAAUUUUAAUAUUUGGUUUACUUUGGAUUGGU